GUUAUCAGAUUCACUUCAAUUCAUGGUGUUGGUGUGGGUUGGGGUGAAAUUUAGUUCAAGUUUCACUCCAAUCCACCUCAACACAUGUGGAUUGAUGUGAAUCCGACU
rfam:Sorghum bicolor cultivar BTx623 chromosome 9, whole genome shotgun sequence.